CCCCUCCUCGCGAUUCUGUGGUCCCAGAAGGAAAAACGACGGCUUCAGUCAGCACGCGGCGUCGCGACGCACUCCAUCGUACGCGUUUCGUCCAACCGCGAAACAACGGUCCCCUAUGUGUGUCGAAUCCCAUCGCUCGACUGUGUAACCGCAACAUAAACAACAACAUUCGGAGUGAGAGCUGCGAUCACGGAAGUUGUGUAAGUGAUUGAUAAACGACUUUUUCUCUUUCGUUCGUUGCCACAAACUACCGCGGACGUUCCUUGAACUUCGAACAACGAGCGACCGUGAACGUCCGUAUUGCGGCCCUCGACCAAUGAAAAAGGAACACGUCGAAUAAUUACCUAAAUAAUUGAAUCAAAGGGAAGUUCGAGGCAUAGGUGAUGUCGCGCAAGUCGUAAAAGUCGAGGCCAAACGGUGUGAAAAGAAAACGGGCCAAGGUUGUACAUUACCCAAAUCGAGCGAUUUCCGGCCUCCAUUUCCGAUGCGAAACGUAGUUCCAAACCGAUGCUGAUCUCACGAGGAAUUUAUCGUCAGGACCCUAAAUCACACGAUUUGAAAUAACGACGUUUCUCCUUUAGUGGCGGAUGUCAAACUUGUACCAUGGCUCCAGAAGAUUCCUGUAAAAGCACAAAAGAAGACUUCCGCAUCGGGCGAUACGCCGAAAGUACGAGGUUAUUAUCGGGCAAUUAAAGAUUUUCACGAAAUUUUCAUUGACGUGAUC